UACGUAGGGGGCAAGCGUUGUCCGGAAUCAUUGGGCGUAAAGAGCGCGUAGGCGGCCCGGUAAGUCCGCUGUAAAAGUCAAAGGCUCAACCUUUGAAUGUCAGUGGAUACUGCCGGGCUAGAGUCCGGAAGAGGCGAGUGGAAUUCCUGGUGUAGCGGUGGAAUGCGCAGAUAUCAGGAGGAACACCAACGGCGAAGGCAGCUCGCUGGGACGGUACUGACGCUGAGGCGCGAAAGCGUGGGGAGCGAACAGG
rnacentral:rRNA from 1 species